rnacentral:rRNA from 1 species
CCUACGGGAGGCAGCAGUGGGGGAUAUUGCACAAUGGGGGAAACCCUGAUGCAGCGACGCCGCGUGGGCGAAGAAGUAUUUCGGUAUGUAAAGCCCUAUCAGCAGGGAAGAAGAAAGGACGGUACAUGAGUAAGAAGCACCGGCUAAAUACGUGCCAGCAGCCGCGGUAAUACGGAGGGUGCAAGCGUUAUCCGGAUUUACUGGGUGGAAAGGGAGCGAAGGCGGCACGGCAAGCCUGAUGUGAAAGCCCGCGGCCCAACCGCGGGACGGAUUUGGGAACUCCCGGGCUGGAGUGCCGGAGAGGUAGGCGGAAUUCCUCGUGUGGCGGUGACAUGCG